rnacentral:rRNA from 1 species
UAGGAAUUGGCGGGGGAGCACUACAACGGGUGGAGCCUGCGGUUUAAUUGGACUCAACGCCGGAAAACUCACCGGGGGCGACAGCAAUAUGUAGAUCAGGCUAAAGACCUUAUCUGAAUCGCUGAGAGGAGGUGCAUGGCCGUCGUCAGUUCGUACUGUGAAGCAUCCUGUUAAGUCAGGCAACGAGCGAGACCUGCGCCCACUGUUGCCAGCAUGUUCUUCGGAAUGAUGGGUACUCUGUGGGGACCGCUGGUGCUAAACCAGAGGAAGGUGCAGGCUACGGUAGGUCAGUAUGCCCCGAAUCUCCCGGGCUACACGCGGGCUACAAUGAUUGGGACAAUGGGUUCCUACACCGAAAGGUGAUGGUAAUCUCAUAAACCCAACCGUAGUUCGAAUUGAGGGCUGUAACUCGCCCUCAUGAAGCUGGAAUCCGUAGUAAUCGCGUUUCAACAUAGCGCGGUGAAUACGUCCCUGCUCCUUGCACACACCGCCCGUCAAACCACCCGAGUGAGGUAUGGGUGAGGGCACGG